ensembl:lncRNA
AUGACUGAUGAAUCUUCGGAUGCUACGGACUAUGAUGAUGCCAACUAUGUUCCAGAUUCAAGUGGCAACUCAUCUGACACAAGUUCUAAUAGUAGAGAUCUAAAAAUCAUAGACAAUCAUCUUCCCCACAAAGUGUUCAAGGAAAUAUCACUGGGGAUGGCUACAGCCCACAGUUCGGAUAGUACCAACAGUUCCUUGGAACAGAGAAGUUUUAGUUCCUCAAAGAUGAGCAGCGGCCAUUGUAGUUCAGGUAUAAUUUGCAGUGACAGUUCAUCAGAAAAGACAUCGCACAGCUCCAUAAAUGUCACUUCAUUGCCAAACACAGCAAAACGAAGCAAGUACAACAAGAAACAAUACUGUCUUUAUUGUAGUAAGGCCAUUUCUAAAUUGGCAAGACACCUCGAAUCCGCUCACAGUACACAGCCUGAUGUUGCAAAAGCUUUGAGUUUUAAUAAGAGAUCUCGCGAAAGAAAAGAUUUGUUACGCUCUCUUAAGAAGAGGGGAAACUUUAACCAUAAUGCCACAGUGGCAAGCAGUGGUGAUGGAGAAAUGGUUGCUUGUCGAAGACCCACUAGAGUCAGACAAUCUAAUGACUUCAGUCACUGCAAGUUUUGUCAAGGACUCUAUGCAAGAGAUUGUCUAUGGAGACAUGUCAGAAACUGCCCUCAGAAGUCUGUUGAGGUGGAGACUAGAGUUGGGCGAAAACGGAUCCACAUUGACCUACCAAAAGCUGAAACAGUUCAUGAAGCUGUUUGGAAGAUUGCUUGUGAAAUGAACCAGGAUGACAUUUCUUUAGUUGUAAGGAGUGAAAGCGACAUCCUUAGUCUUGGCGAGUCAAUGUACAAUGGCAGGAAACCAAAUGAGAAAAGAAAUGAUUACAUACGUCAAAAAAUGAGAGAGAUGGCAAGACUCUUGAUAGCUGCAAGAGCUACAACACCUUUGAAGACCACUGAAGACCUUGUUAUGCCCAGUAAUUUCCCCCACGUGAUACAAGCAGUGAGAUCUGUUGCUGGUUAUGACUUGGAUACCAACUCGUAUAAAACCCCAUCAUUGGCUUUAAAAUUGGGUCACAGUUUGGCUAAGGUUGCAGGCAUUGUGCAAUGCAAUGCCAUCAUUGCAAAUCGCAAUGUCAUCGCAGAGUCUGCCAAGCAAUUCGCCACUCUGUAUGAGAAAAGAUGGGCGGAAUCCAUUUCAAGUGCUGCACUGGGUACACUUCAUCAAGCCAAAUGGAAUAAACCACAUGUUUUACCCUUUACACAGGAUGUGCACCUGCUGCACAAGUUUCUUGCUACUGAGCGUGCUAAGUGCAUGAAGGACCUUGAGGAAGACCCCAACAUCAAAAGCUUUGGGAAUCUUGCACAAGUGACUUUGACGCAGGUGGUACUAUUUAACAGAAGACGGCAAGGGGAAGUUUCAAAAAUAGAACUCCAGGCUUUCACAUCCAGAAACCGUACUGAGUUGAAUCCUGACAUUAUGAUGGGCCUUACUGAGUUUGAGAGGAAGGUUGCAAAGUACUUUGACAGAGUUGAGAUUCGAGGCAAAAGGUCACGAAUGGUGCCCGUGCUUCUCACACCUGACAUGAUCGCUGCAAUGGACCUCCUCAUUAAAAACAGGAAUGAGUGUCAAGUCCACACAGAGAAUGUGUACUUGUUUGCACNCCCAGAGUCACUCACCUCAACAAGAUUGAGGAAACAAGUUGCCACUUUGUCAACAGUACUAAACUUGAAAGAAAAUGAAAUGGAUCAACUUGCUACCUUUCUAGGACAUGAUAUAAGGGUCCACAGGGAAUUCUAUCGGCUUCCAGAGAGUACACUGCAGCUUGCAAAAGUAAGCAAACUGUUGAUAGCAAUGGAAAAAGGAAGACUGUCUGACCUGCAAGGGAAAGGGCUGGAUGACAUUGAAAUCAAUCCUGAAGGUGAAGUUAAGUUUUAA